AGAGUUUGAUCAUGGCUCAGGAUAAACGCUGGCGGCGUGCCUAACACAUGCAAGUCGAACGCCCUGGUUCAUCCAGGGAGUGGCGGACGGGUGAGGAACACGUGGGAAUCUACCUUCGGGUGAGGAAUACCGGCGAGAAAUCGCCGACAAAACCGCAUAACCUCUGGAAAGAGGAAAGUCGCAAGACGCCGGAAGAAGAG
rnacentral:rRNA from 1 species